CAAACGACUCUCGGCAACGGAUAUCUCGGCUCACGCAUCGAUGAAGAACGUAGCAAAAUGCGAUACUUGGUGUGAAUUGCAGAAUCCCGUGAACCAUCGAGUUUUUGAACGCAAGUUGCGCCCGGAGCCAUUUGGAUGAGGGCACGUCUGCUUGGGUGUCACGC
rnacentral:rRNA from 1 species